GGGGGACCUUAUUGCUUCCUACAGCUGCCUGAAAGGAGGGUGCAGCACCUGCGCAGCAGCCUCUUCUCCCGGGUAACAAACUCUCUUUCCUUUGGGGACCAGCAAAGAAAAACUGCUCCUAGUAGAUUACUAAAUAUUAGUUGUUGCAUUCCUCCAGAAUUUUUGCUAUCUUUAGACUAAGAGAUGUAAUGUCUUUUUUCUGUGUAAAAGGAUGAGCAGCCAAUGGGCUGGGAAAUAACAGGAGUAGGUAGCAGAGAGAGCAGAAUACCAGUAAUACAGAAUUACUUCAUGUGUCUUUACAGGUACUCUGUAAGCAUCAUCAGCUUGAUUUUAUAAUUAUUUUCUGAUGAAAUGUAAAGGCAAGAAGCCAGGCAUUGCCAUAACCAGAGCCCAAACUAUGAAUUCCCCUUGAUCCCAGGAAAAUCUCCUGUGAAUUUGGGUCAAGUCCUGUGAAGAGAUUUGUGCCUGAAGUUAAACUAGCCAUUUUCCAUUUUAAUCACAGGGCAUGGCAAGCUGUUUAUGGAUUCUGUCAUCCAACCAUGCUACUGUGGCUUAGGCCUUGAAGUGUUUUGCUGCUUGUGACUGCUGAUGAGAAAUGUACUGCAAAAUCCUCGGAUGAUCAGUUCGCAGGAGCAUUUCCUCAUCACACACACACUGCGCACUGAUCAGCUCCCAGGGAGAAAGGAGGAACACCUGAGGAGAGCUGGGGAACAGGGUGAGAUUGAGGGUACUCACGGGGCUAGAAUUGAAGCCUUUGAGGUUUCAAAGCCUUUAAGGCACUGCAGCACUGCAGGGACCUCCUGUGGUCAGUGGAAACAAGGCACUGCACCCAGCCCUGGGGAUGGGGCACGAUGGCCAGAGGGCUUCCUGCUGCACCUGGUCCUGUCCAGCUGCACAGCACAGGGGUGUCAGCCUUGGGAAAUUCUCACAGACACGAGGCUGAGAAAUUACUCUGGGACUGGGAGGUCCCCACUGAAAAGAAUGGAGAAGCUUGAUGCAAGCAAAACCCACUUCCUUGUCCCACCCUUCCUCAGAAAUGCCCCAAAUGCAAAGAUACAGCUCACAGCUCAUUGCACUAACAGAGAAGUGUUACUCCCACUGCUUUCAGCUUUGCUGCAUGUUACGUGA
rnacentral:lncRNA from 1 species